GCUUGUCUCAAAGAUUAAGCCAUGCAUGUCUAAGUAUAAAAGUAUUCUAUACUUGAAACUGCGAAUAGCUCAUUAAAUCAGUUAUAGUUUAUUUGAUGGUGCCUUACUACAUGGAUACCCGUAGUAAUUCUAGAGCUAAUACAUGCCAAAAAAACCCAACCGCAAGGGCGGGUUGUAUUUAUUAGAUAAAAAACCAUUACUCGCAAGAGUUUUUGUGGUGAUUCAUAAUAACUGUUCGAAUCGCAUGCCGCAAGGCGGCGAUAGAUCAUUCAAAUUUCUGCCCUAUCAGCUCUCGACGGUAGUGUAGUGGACUACCGUGGCAUUAACGGGUAACGGAGAAUUAGGGUUCGAUUCCGGAGAGGGAGCCUGAGAAACGGCUACCACAUCCAAGGAAGGCAGCAGG
rnacentral:rRNA from 1 species